UUUAUUUUAAUUCUUUCUAAGGGCUUCAUUAAAAAGUUUGGCUGUAAAUGUCUGGGCUUGAUGUCGAGCAAAAACUAUUUAAAAUUAAUAUUCUGCUUUAAACCCACCGUAGAAGUUUCCAAUCGCGCAAUGGUUAUCAUUGUUUUAAAAUAACCUUCUACUACAGUUACGAUGUCAAAAACGAUAUUGUCUUUCAUCUGUUAAAACAAUGUUCAAUUGUUUACAAGGCGCGUAAAACCGACGACGUUUCAACAAAUUUGAAAUACCGGAUGACACAUACUAAUAUUAUAAGCAGCAGCUAUACAAGGGCCGAAACG